CCUACGGGGGGCAGCAGUGGGGAAUAUUGCACAAUGGGCGAAAGCCUGAUGCAGCAACGCCGCGUGAAGGAAGAAGGGUUUCGGCUCGUAAACUUCUAUCAACAGGGACGAAAGAAAUGACGGUACCUGAAUAAGAAGCCCCGGCUAACUACGUGCGAGCAGCCGCGGAAAUACGUAGGCGGCAAGCGUGAUCCGGAAUUACUGGGUGUAAAGGGUGAGUAGGCGGGAUGGUAAGCCAUAUGUGGAAGCCUUGGGCUUAACCCGAGGAUUGCAGUUGGAACUAUCAAGCUAGAGUACCGGAGAGGAAAGCGGAAUUCCGAGUGUAGCGGUGAAAUGCGUAGAUAGUAGGAAGAACACCAGUGGCGAAGGCGGCUUUCUGGACUGAAACUGACGCUGAGGCACGAAAGCGUGGGGAGCGAACAGGAUUAGAUACCCUGGUAGUC
rnacentral:rRNA from 1 species